UGGGGAAUUUUGCACAAUGGAGGAAACUCUGAUGCAGCGACGCCGCGUGAGUGAUAAAGAUCUUCGGAUUGUAAAACUCUGUCCUUAGUGAAGAUAAUGACAGUAACUAAGAAGCAAGCCCUGGCUAAAUACGUGCCAGCAGCCGCGGUAAUACGUAUGGGGCAAGCGUUGUCCGGAAUUAUUGGGCGUAAAGGGUACGUAGGCGGUUUAAUAAGUCCUAAUUAAAAGGCUAUGGCUCAACCAUAGUAUGGUUAGGAAACUGUUGAACUUGAGUAGAUGAGGGGAAAGUGGAAUUCCAUGUGUAGCGGUGAAAUGCGUAGAUAUAUGGAGGAACACCAAUGGCGAAGGCAACUUUCUGGAAUCAAACUGACGCUGAGGUACGAAGGCGUGGGGAGCAAACAGG
rnacentral:rRNA from 1 species